rnacentral:rRNA from 1 species
ACCAUGCAGUCGAGGGGUAACAGGGAGCUUGCUCUGCUGACGACCGGCGCACGGGUGCGUAACGCGUAUGCAACCUACCUUCUACAGGGGGAUAGUCAAUAGAAAUGUUGAAUAAUACCCCAUACGAUCUUUGAGUGGCAUUACUUAAAGAGGAAAGCUUCGGCGGUAGAAGAUGGGCAUGCGUCCUAUUAGUUAGUUGGUGAGGUAACGGCUCACCAAGACCGCGAUAGGUAGGGGCCCUGAGAGGGGGAUCCCCCACACUGGUACUGAGACACGGACCAGACUCCUACGGGAGGCAGCAGUGAGGAAUAUUGGACAAUGGAGGCAACUCUGAUCCAGCCAUGCCGCGUGCAGGAAGACUGCCCUAUGGGUUGUAAACUGCUUUUAUACAGGAAGAAACCUACUUACGUGUAAGUAGCUGACGGUACUGUAAGAAUAAGGAUCGGCUAACUCCGUGCCAGCCGCCGGGGGU